GAACGGGUGAGUAACACGUGGGCAAUCUGCCCUGCACUCUGGGACAAGCCCUGGAAACGGGGUCUAAUACCGGAUAUGAUCACCGGCCGCAUGGUCUGGUGAUGGAAAGCUCCGGCGGUGCAGGAUGAGCCCGCGGCCUAUCAGCUUGUUGGUGGGGUGAUGGCCUACCAAGGCGACGACGGGUAGCCGGCCUGAGAGGGCGACCGGCCACACUGGGACUGAGACACGGCCCAGACUCCUACGGGAGGCAGCAGUGGGGAAUAUUGCACAAUGGGCGAAAGCCUGAUGCAGCGACGCCGCGUGAGGGAUGACGGCCUUCGGGUUGUAAACCUCUUUCAGCAGGGAAGAAGCGAAAGUGACGGUACCUGCAGAAGAAGCGCCGGCUAACUACGUGCCAGCAGCCGCGGUAAUACGUAGGGCGCAAGCGUUGUCCGGAAUUAUUGGGCGUAAAGAGCUCGUAGGCGGCUUGUCGCGUCGGAUGUGAAAGCCCGGGGCUUAACCCCGGGUCUGCAUUCGAUACGGGCAGGCUAGAGUUCGGUAGGGGAGAUCGGAAUUCCUGGUGUAGCGGUGAAAUGCGCAGAUAUCAGGAGGAACACCGGUGGCGAAGGCGGAUCUCUGGGCCGAUACUGACGCUGAGGAGCGAAA
rnacentral:rRNA from 1 species